UGUCUUAAGAUGGAUGCAAAGUAACACACAUUUUGUUGAGUAGUGAGUCUUGUACUCUGAGAAGUUGAGUUGAUGAUAGACAAUGAAAGACAAGCCAAGCUAGAGCAUGUAGACUAAGUGUAGGAUGUGAAAUAUGUUAUGUUGUAAGAGGUUAUGGGGAGACAAUGAGAAUUUUCUGUGGCAAGUCAUCUAGACAAGUAACCCCAGUAUGAUGAAGUGUGUAGUAGGUAUUGGGUUAGAAGAAAAAUUCUAGUCAUAAGUGUGUGGCAAUGAUAAGGUUUAUCUUAUGUGCAUUUU
rnacentral:lncRNA from 1 species